UCAUCAUUGGAGAUUAUGUUUUUUUUUCGUGGCAACGCACGGGCCAUUUUGCUAGUAAUAAUAAAGCGCCGAGCGCUUCUGUUGUCCGUCGUGGUUUUUUUUACAGAAAAGUCCCUGUCUUUUCAAGUAAUUAACCCGCAGUCCUUCUAUAUGGCACACCGGACCGUUUUUUCGCGCAUAUUUACAAACAACCCCUUAUAGUUUCUUGAAAUCAACCCGCUCCGCUCUUAAUGACGCAACGCGGUCGAGCGAGGAGGGAGCAUAGGAGCUACCAUUGCAGCCCGCGGGGCUCCGAGAAGGAAUGACCGCCUCCUUGCCAGGUGAUGGAGCAACAGGACCGGUGCACAGUGGCACUCAGUUGGUCGCUAGAUCCGGCGUUCAUCAGCCAGUUGCAACGCAACUCGCUGCGUAUGGGCUCCUGGCUGAAGGCCGGCCUGCGCGCGGGAGGAGAUCUGGUGGUGCCGGACUGCCGGUGGUGGCGCGCCUUCUCCAAGCUCGCCCAUCUUCUGAAGAAAUCAAUGGAAUCAAUGGUCAUCUCUGGAUGAAAUGGAGGACUGGCUAGGUCCCGCCGGUCGCCACAGCCGCAGCCCCGACUCCUCUCCGCGCCGGCUCUACGCGAGAAGACCCCCAUGGCCCAGGGCAAGAAGAAGAAGGCGGUGGCGUCCAAGCCGCGCAAGCCGAAGCAGCGGGACGCAGCGGAGAAGAAGAUCUAGAAAAAGGCCGACAUGUCAGGUGGAUGUGUGGAGAAGAAAAUAAUCGGAGUGGUGAAAAAGGAAUCUUCGGUGGGAUUGUGUGUUGUCUGAUUUUUUAAAAGAUGUGAUGUGGCUGCUACUACAUAUUGCUCUUUUUUUUCUUUCCUACAACUAGAUAUCCUGCUAGCAUACAAUUUAGUUAGCCGUUGUUUAACUCCAUCGUAUCUUAAUUUUAAUUACGGGCA